rnacentral:misc_RNA from 1 species
UUUUUUUUUUGCAUCUGCUCCUCUUUCUCACACUCCACACAUUUGUUUUGGGGCUUUAGCGAUGCCUAUAAGUAGCUCCCUGGUGGCCUUUGAGCGGGUCAUCAUCGCGGAGGAGAGCGUCUCGCCGUCUUUAGCGCCGGCGCUGCAAAAGAUGCUGGGCCUGCUUCCUCGCCACGACGCGAAGGUGAGCUAUCAGCUCGAGCAGGACGUGUUUCACUUCUUCAUCGAGAACGACAUUGUUUACGCCUGCACCACCUCGGGUCACUACGAGAACCGCAUCGUCUUUGGUUUUCUCCUCCACAUCAAGGAUGCAUUCAAGACAUCCUUCGCCGGCAGAGCUGACCGCUAUCCACACCACGCUGACCUGACUCCCGAAAAAUGCCACGGCUUUUCUUCUACUCUAGCCUCCUCCCGCAAAACGUUUAACGAGAGCCCUCAAGAGGAUAAGGUUUGCCGAAUCAAGGAGCAGCUGAACGCAACGCGCGAGGUGAUGCUCCAGAACCUGGAUAGUAUUAUCGAACGUGGCGACCGCAUCGACACUUUGUGCGACCGCGCCGAACUCCUGCGCGACGAGGCGCAAUGCUUCCACUCUAACGCACGCUCUCUCAAGCAUGCCGUUUUGAUGCACAAAAUUAAUAUCAUCAUCGGUGUCGUUAUCUUUCUUGCCAUUCUUGCCCUCAUCAUCACGUUUAGCGUCUGCGGCAUUGACUUUAAGAAAUGCUAGCUAGAUGCAUUUUUUUUUUGUGAGCGGCUUUUCCCUAUGCGACAUGUACAUGGCGCGGUGCUUUUUUUUGCCUUUGCUUCUCUCUCUACUUCCUUGCUGCUCACUUGGAGUUCGCUCUCCCUUUCUCUCUUUCCGAUAUCUCGUCAUGGUCCCUUCUGCUUUUCUCUAUUGCCUAGGGCUCGAUUAG